AUCUGAUCUCAAAUCAGGUAGGACUACCCGCUGAACUUAA
rnacentral:rRNA from 1 species